rnacentral:pre_miRNA from 1 species
UUAUUUGUAUCAUGUCUGAUCUCAAAUCCUGGAUCAGUACAGUACCCGGAGAUAUUUAAACAUGUAGAGAUGCACAAUUUUACUUAUACUAGCUCUGAUCUUAGAUUCCGGAUCAACGUAGCGGUGA